rnacentral:lncRNA from 1 species
UCAGAUUGUAGUAUUAAAAAAGAGGUGUGACACUAACAACAUAAGGAGAAAACUAGAUUGUAGUCUAUAUAAGCUAAAUCGCUCGGCUAACAUAACGUUCACAUAAGCAUAACAUCAUUCAAUUGAGUCUAAACACCAUUAUCUUUUACAUAUGGAAUAAUUCAAAUCUUUAUCUUCUUCUUUUGUGAUAAGUUAAAGCUAUUCAAAUCUUGGGCACAAUUUACUCUUUUUUUAAUCUCAUAACUGGACGACCUUCAGUCAAACACGCCAAACAAAAAGAAGUUCAAUAAAAUUGACGAGAAAAUUGCAUCACAGACUAGUAUAUAAACUAGCUCACAAACAUCUUCUAUUAAUAAAAUAAGGAGGAGUAGAAGAUGAAGCUGUCAAAACAUUCAAUUAAUUCUUCCUCAAAUUACAAAAGAAUCUGACAGUGAAAAUCCAACGCAAAACGUAGCCAAGAAACAGAAAUUAACAGCCACGAACAAACCCCGAUCGGCGACGAACCCUCAAACAAACUCCAACAUGGGCAGAAUUUAACUCAUCUUCACUGAAAUCAGAAGGAACAAAAACUUCGAACUUCAAACGACCUCCAUAACAAACUGUUGUUGUUAGAUUUAGCCUUUGAUUUACAAAUCUCCUUUACACCUUGAAAUACCAAUGGAAUCCCAGAAAAUGAUGAAACAAAGAAAAGCAUAAAUCGAACUAGAUUCUAAGCCCACUCUUACUCCUUGUUUCUAUUUUGUUUACAGCCUCUGUUUCAUGGGUGUGUGAGUGCGUAUUUUUAUGAAGAAUGGAAAGGGGGAAGAAGGAAUGGUGAUGGGGGGUCGCUGGUGAAGGUUUAGUCGUUGGAGGAUGGGUCGUUGCUGAAGAAGAGUGGUCUUCUAUGAAGAAGAAGACAUUAGGGUGGGGGGUCAUGUAUUGUUCAGCAGCUGAAAGGUUGAAGAAGAUGAUUCAGGGGUCGUUCCUUUUUUCUUUGCUCUAGCGACGCUGAUUUUCCGUGUCCCUUCUAAGGUCUAGUUUUUUUUAAAUUAAAAGUUAUUUUUGGGAAUGGGUCGGGUCAGAUCCAGUUCGCUUGGGCGGGUUGGGGCGUUUUGGGCUGGACCGAUUGGGCUGGUGAAUCUUGGGCAAUUUGGAUUUAAAACAGCCUUUUUCAAUUUUCCCUUUUCUUUUCUUUCUUUAACUAAUUAAACUAAAAUUAAAUUUCUAAAUUAAUUUAAAUUAUAAUAUUGAGCUAUUAUCUAACUAUUAAUAUUUAUUAAAAUUAGUUGCGCCUAAAUUAAAAGAGAAAAAUCAAUAACCUAAAAUUUAAAGCUAAGAAUGAAAAAACGAGCCAUUUUUUGCGAUUUUCAUUUUCAAUAAAACAAUUAAUUAAUUAUCUAAUCCUAAAUGUGAACAGAAAAUCUAAAUACAAUUCAUGGUAUUUUGGUAUUUUUUUAUUUUUAAUGGAAAUUAAAUAUGCAAAUAAUUAAUAAAAUUUCUACAAAAAAUCCUAUAAAAUUGCAAAAAUUGGGAAAAUUUAUUUUUUAUUUUUUUGUGGGAGUAACUCAUAUAGGACAAAAAUUACGUGUUCACAGUCUAGAAAUUCAUUCUACCUCGGGCAAAUUGCGUCAAAAUCUGAGGUUCGAUCCAGUGAUUAGAAGUUUAAGCUUAGAUAAAAUUCUCUUUUCUCCCAUUGUUGUUCGUUUGUCGUCUUUGCAUGUUCAUGUCUUAGGUUUACAGUUUUUAGGAUUUUUUUUCUUUGUUCACAUGUUUAGUUGAUUUUUUGUUUGGGUUUAUUAG